AUUUCUUACUAUCAUGGCCUAAAAGAAAAGAGAUGAUCUAUAAGAACAAAAUAGUCGACAUUUUUUUUCUACAGUAACCGGAAAAUCUAUUUUGUGCUUUUCUUGCCAAUACUGAACUAUUAAUCAUACUUUCCACAAGAGACUGAGACAGGAGUAAUGGAAGAUGUUCACUUCUUAUAUGCAUCUGGGCUGUUUGGAUUUUUUUGCAAAGAACAUUUAAAUGAAAACCUAAAGAUUCAUAAUUUUAAAAAAUCUGUAAGUAGAUCAAGUUUAUUCACAUAUCCACUAACUGUUGAGUGUUUACUAUGCUCCAGACUCUGUGCCAAGAAAGCAGAACUAACAGAAGUCCCCAGCCCACAGGAGCCCACAGUCCCAGGGACAAGUCAAUGGAGGUUUUCACCGUGGGAAAAUGUAGAUGCAAGUAUGGAACAAGGGAAGAGGAAGAACCCUGUGGAUUUGGAAUGGAACUCAGGAAACCAAUAGUAGAUGAUCACCAGAACAAAGGCAUAAACUAAGAAAAAGGAAGAUAUGAGAUCCAGGAAACAGCAGAUCCAACACUGAAGGAGCCAAGAAGAAUAGAAGGAUUGUGGCAAAGGGAGAUUUCAGUAAUGACAGCUAUGCAGCAUGCCUAGAGUUACCAGUCCACAUGGGAAAAGGGGCAUAGAAGAUUCCUGUAGGCAUGUCUCUAAGAAAAUAAUGGAACUAAUAAAUUAUCUAAUAAGUCUGACCAUAGAAUAUUGGACUGAAAGGUGUUUUACAGAGCUGCUGGAAGAUACGGAAAGACAAUGUACAUUCAAAGAUAACUGCAAAAUGAGGGGAUAGGGAGAAAGGAGGGAGGAGUGAAGAGAUUAAAAUUCCUCACUACCAUAGUAGGAAGUCAAUACAUAAUUCUAAAAUUUCUGAAUUAAAAGAUAGCAGUAAUGCUUAAUACUUAACUAUGGAGACAAAACAAAGAGCUAAAAGAGUUACUUCAAAGGAGAAUUAAAAGUGCUCCCCCCUCUAUCCUCGCCAAGCAGAAAUUUAAAAAUAGUAACAAUAAUAAAACUUAACUAUAAUUGUGCUUCAAGUGCAUUUUUUGACAAAAGAGGUUUAGGCCAAAAUAUGAUUUUAUAGCAAUUAAGGUCAUAACGUAGAAAAAAACGAGGUUGGAAAAUCACCUUUUUAAGCACCUUCAUUGCAAAUAUUUUUCCAGUAUUUGCUCCUGUUACUUUUCGUACUUGAAAAACCUGGAUAAAAAAUAAAAGUGUUAUUAAAAGCCAAACUAUGCCAGUCACAUUCUCUGAAUUCCUAUUUAUAAGAAACAAACAGUACAGCAGUUUAUAUUCUUGUGAAAACUAGCUCCAUGAAGGUCCAUGUGCAAAAAUGAUCACCUAAGAGAGCAGACCACACCAAGGCUUUAGCGGUGAAUUCUACACAGCAUGGGACUUUCCUGUUUGGUCUGCUGCCAUCUGGUGGCAAAGUUAGGCAAUGACUGUCUAGCGAUGAGCUAUAAUUGGGGUUCCCAGAAGCGUAUCACCAAACUGAAAAAAUUGUAUUUCAGAAAUUUCUCCCAGGGAUGCUACAUAAAACAACUUAAUAAUAGUUGACUGGAAUUACUGUUUACCUAUCCCUUAAAAUGACUGGUUAUAAAACAUUUUCUUGCCACAGCUAAAAUACGUGACUCAAAGUGCAUGUGUUACACAUCCAGGAUCAUUAGAACACAUUUGAAUGUGUCCUUAAGCCUCAGAAUAAACUACAAAUGUCAUGCUCUGCAAGAAUUAACACUACACAAUACUACACAAUAGCAUAAGUAUUCCUUAACUUAUUCCUAACCAAUUUGUUGUCCAAAUUCUGCCUUUGAUAGAGAAUGACUAGGUAUAAAUUUCUCGGGCAAA